rnacentral:tRNA from 1 species
GGCCCUUAGUUGGUAUACAAUGGCCCUUUAUGCGCAUGAUUUAUAAGGAAACCCAUUGAUUUUCGGUUGUUCCUGUAGGAACUCAUAAUCGCUUGGUCGCUGGUUCAAGUCCAGCAGGGGCCACCA